CAGUAUGAACUGUGCUGUGGCCUGAUGACAUCACAAUCAGGAGUCCCUUGAGUCUGGCAGGCUCCCUCCCUGCCCUAAUACAACCGGAAUGGGGGAACACUCCUGUCCUCCCAGUUCCUUUGCUUUUCCUUUCCAUCCUUUGCUGAUGGGCCUGCAGUGGGCCCCGGUAGCUUUACAGGUGGGGAGAUGGGGAGAGGCCCUCCUAUUAAGCCACGACCCCACACAAGAUUGUAUGGACUGCCUGAAUGAGGCAGUCAUCACUGCUGAGAAUCAGUGCCUGCCACGAUCCCCGUCAAUCGGCUCUCAGAGAUCCUUCCUGACAUCCCCACAAGCAGAUGCCUGAGCCCUGCACCUCCAAGUGGACCCCAGACCGGUGAGGAUGACCACCACAAAGAUCUCUUUAUCCAAGAGAGAAGGACCCCGACACAAAAGCCUUCCAGCUCUUUCUAGAAGACCCCUGCCACAGCCAAGGGACCAGCUCCCCAAUGCAGACAGGAUCACCGGAGGUCCCUGGUGCCCCGGGGUGUUUCUGACCAGGCAGAGGCCCCGAAGCCACCACCCCUGGCCGCCCAUGUGGGAGAAGCGCAGUCUGGUAGGAGGAGCAUCAGUGCUGCAGCCCAGACACACACUCAGCCCUGCAGCCUAAACACCCAGCAUACAUCACACCCAGGCCUAUAAAAGGAAUACGUGGCUGGAAGAGAGGAGCAGCCUGCAGCAUUUUUAUCAUUAAAAUAUCACGGGAACCAAACUGCUCCGUUUCAGAGCAGGUUUUACUGAAUACAGGCAACUCACUUACUACGCAUAUACACAGAUGUGCGUGUGUGUGUGUUUCAAGGACAAUGGUUUUUAGGAAAACAAUUUGGAACAAAUGUCGCUUCUUGUGCCUGGUCUAUAUGGAUUCAGGUGGCCCUGUGAGGAGUGGUGAAAAGGAAGCACAGAAGACACAAAGGUAUCAUCAAUCGGA